rnacentral:tRNA from 1 species
AGUAAAGUCAGCUAAUAAAGCUAUCGGGCCCAUACCCCGAAAAUGUUGGUCUAAGACCCCUCCUCUACUA